rnacentral:lncRNA from 13 species
GGAGCCCCAGGGCUGGAUGCAGGACUCCAGGUGGGGUCGCAGGAAGAACACCCAGAGGAUUUCCAGCACCUGCUGGCGAGGCUCCCAAUACCUCCUGCACGCUCCUGUUUUCCUGGUCCCAUUUUUUUCCUGACCAGAUUUCCUCGUGUCCAUCUCCAAAAAGCACAGUCCUGGGAUCAGAGGUGAUCCCGGGAAAGGCGAGGUGUUGGCUGUGGAUGGGGAGCAGGGAGCUGGGUCUGGCCAGCUCCAAGCAAGGAUGAUUUUAGCUCCUUGCUGAGUCUGCAAAGCCCGAGGCUGCAUCCCAAAGAUGCUUUGCUUGAGUGGCUGCAGUGGAAGCUUUUUCCUGUUAAAGCUGUGGCUGUGCUGGACUGCACAGGGAGCGAAUUACUGAUGGGAUAAGCGGAUGAGAUGCCUGGGAGGAAGGAUACCUAUUGUUCUGUCCCGGGAUAAAAGGCUGCUGCUGCUGCUGAGUCAGUGGCCAGGGAGGAAGGAAGGCAGGAGGGAGGAUGUGGAAUGCAGAUGCAUCCGUCCCUGAGGGGGUGAAAUCCCUGCUGGACCCCUGACUGGGCUCCCAGUGCUCUGCUCUGCCUCACCUGCUCUAAUACUGACAUUCAGCUCGAAAUCUCCUCCCAACACGUGGUAACCCCCCAGUAAAUCCCAGUCCCCUCCCCUCUCCCAGGCUGGGCAUUCACUUCUCAGAGUGUUUUCCCUGUUAAAGCUCUCAGUCUUGAAACACCUUUAAGCAAAUCCAAAGAAAUCCCCUUUUUUGCUCACUUUGGAGACUGUUAAAGCAUUCAGAUCUUCCCUGGUGUGCGCAUCCCAGACCACAACACUGCAAAAAAAAAAGCGUGGGGAGAGCCUUGGUGCUGCCUUGGUGCUGCCUUGGUGCUGCCUUGUGUCUGCUGAGAACUUGAAGAAAAGCUUAACCAGGACAAGAGGAUGGAUUUUGAAUGUGCAGUGGAAUAGUCUGAACUUCCCAGAUGACAGAGAUAAGCAGGGACACACUGGUCGAGCGAUGCCAUCAGGAGCAUCCCUGGUGGAGUCACCAUCCCUGGAAGUGUUCAAAAAGUGUGGAUGUGGCACCUGAGGACGUGGUUUAGAGGUGAACACAGUGGGGCUGUGAAUUUGAUGAUAUUUAAGGUCUUUUCCAGCCUUAACGGUUCUGUGAUCCCCUGAAACGUGUGGCACCUCCCUAAAUUCCUCCUCACCUUCUCCCAAUGCCUCUUCCUGUUGCAGGCAGCGGUGGAAGCACAGAGAAGGAAAACCCCAAAUUUCUGAAAUCAAGUGUAAAGGGUGAUUAGAAAUCCUUGAGUGCACGAAAGCUGGAGGGGAGUG